AUGUCUCCCUCAAUAAUCUCACAGGACCUAUACCACAAAAUGAGCAGUUUUCUACAUUUCAAGAAAAUUCAUUUGAGGGAAAACCAAGGUUUGUGUGGAGAUCAAUUGUCAAAGAAGUGUAUAGAUCAUCCAGGGCCUUCUUCCUCUGAUGGUGACCAUGACUCGGAAUCUUUCAUUGAAAUUGAGUGGAAAGUAAGUUUGAUUGGUUAUGCAGGUGGUCUUGUUGCUGGAGUGGCAUUGGGAACCACUUACAGCUCACAGGUACUUCGGUGGCUUAAAAGGUUCUUUUGA